CACCACUUGGUGAAGAUUUUGCCGUCGGGAACGGUUUAGUAGGUAUUUCUCGAAAGACCGUCAGGCGAAAAGGAG
rnacentral:ncRNA from 12 species